ACCUAUGUCCAGACCAGACUGAAUUGACUUGAUCUCAGAAGCUAAGUAGUCCUGGACCUAGUUAAUACUUGGAUGGGAGACCACCUGGGAAUUCUGGGUGGCAUAGGCA
rfam:Alligator sinensis unplaced genomic scaffold scaffold448_1, whole genome shotgun sequence